UCCGAGUUGACCCCGGCAGUCUCCCAUGAGUCCCCGGCAUCACCCGCUGGCAACAUGGGACAAGGGUUGCGCUCGUUGCGGGACUUAACCCAACAUCUCACGACACGAGCUGACGACAACCAUGCACCACCUGUACAGGACCCCAAAAGGACCCCCCAUCUCUGGAGGAUUUCCCUGUAUGUCAAGCCUUGGUAAGGUUCUUCGCGUUGCGUCGAAUUAAGCCGCAUGCUCCGCCGCUUGUGCGGGCCCCCGUCAAUUCCUUUGAGUUUUAGCCUUGCGGCCGUACUCCCCAGGCGGGGCGCUUAAUGCGUUAGCUGCGGCACGGAUCCCGUGGAAGGGAACCCACACCUAGCGCCCAACGUUUACGGCGUGGACUAC
rnacentral:misc_RNA from 1 species